GUUCCCUACGCGGUCGGGCGUUGGGUUUCGCGGCGCUCGCCGCACUGGUUGUUCAGCACCUUCGGUCCGGUUGAGGUUGUCAAGUCGGACCAAACAGGUUGUUUCUCUGCAGUUUCCAACAUGGCAGGGAGGUUUAAUAGACAUGGAUAAGAAGUCCACUCACAGAAAUCCUGAAGAUGCCAGGGCUGGCAAAUAUGAAGGUAAACACAAACGAAAGAAAAGAAGAAAGCAAAACCAAAACCAGCACCGAUCCCGACAUAGAUCAGUGACGUCUUUUUCUUCAGAUGAUCCUAUGUUUCCUUCUUCCUCAUCAUCGUCUUCAGGAAGCCAGACAGAUUCAAGUAUUGAAGAUGCUGCCAAGGGAAAAAUUAAGAAGAAGAGAAGAGAGAAAACAAAUAAAUGGGAAAAAAGAAAGGUGCGGUGAAACAUCAAUCGGCUUGGUCCACAGAUAAGCGUGUUCAACUCCCCGACGAGUGGAAAGGGAAUUCCCUGACCCCUUGAACUUCCCGGGUUAGGUGAUGCCUCGCCCUGCUUCGGCUCAAGCUCAGUGCACUGAACCCACUGUCCUGCACCAACUGUCCAGCACUCCCCUGUGAGAUGAACCUCGUACCUCAGUUGGAAAUGCAGAAAUCACCUGUCUUCUGUGUCGCUCACGCUGGGAGCUGUAGACUGGAGCUGUUCCUAUUCCAAUAAAAUUGUUCUUUAAUCAACACAA
ensembl:lncRNA LINC00467 long intergenic non-protein coding RNA 467